AACUUUAACUGUCACUUUGAAAAAUUGAAGUUGUAGUUUUGACCUAUUCUCAACUUAAAAAAGAUGAGCAUUAAAUGAAGCAGAAAUAGACAACAGAAAACGCUUCAAGUAAAUAAACUUCGCUUUUAGUGAAAUUUUCAAUUUCUGUUAUUUUUCGUCAUUUGUUUCUACAAUAUAUUUUUCUUCAAUUUACUUUUCGACAAAACAUGCAGUUUGGAAAAAAGAUUUCCUCUCUAGUUCCCAGUUUUGCCUUACUUUACCAACAAAUGUGGAACUCAUCAACUCUCUUAAGACCUCAAACUGCUGUGGGCAUCAAUAUUGUGGAUCAGAUUAGAACCAAUGUCAGAAAGCAUUUCUAUCGUCCAAGUGAAAGACUGCGCUUAAAAAAGCAUUCCUACCAGACAAGAUUGAAAACCCCUGGUGGAAGAGCAAUUAUAAUGAGAAGAAUAUUGAAAGGAAGAUUUGUUUUAAGCCAUUAAAUGCAUAAUACAUGUACAUUUCAUAUUAUUAAAUUUUUAGAAUUGAAUUUAAA